rnacentral:rRNA from 1 species
AGAGUGCGUAAUAGCUCACUGGUCAAGUGAUUCCGCGCCGACAAUGUAACGGGGCUCAAGCACAUCACCGAAGUCGUAGCAUUUACACCAUAGGUAGGCCUUCGUGGUCCAGCCGUGUAAAUGGGUAGGAGAGCGUCGUGUGGCGAGUGAAGCGGCGGAGUGAUCCAGCCGUGGACGCCACACGAGUGAGAAUGCAGGCAUGAGUAGCGAAAGACGGGUGAGAAACCCGUCCUCCGAAAGACUAAGGGUUCCA